CCUACGGGAGGCAGCAGUGAGGAAUAUUGGUCAAUGGGCGUAAGCCUGAACCAGCCAAGUCGCGUGAGGGAUGAAGGUUCUAUGGGUUGUAAACUUCGUUUAUAAAGGAAUAAAACGAGGCACGUGUGCCUUUUUGCAUGUACUUUAUGAAUAAGGAUCGGCUAACUCCGUGCCAGCAGCCGCGGUAAUACGGAGGAUCCGAGCGUUAUCCGGAUUUAUUGGGUUUAAAGGGAGCGUAGAUGGGUUGUUAAGUCAGUUGUGAAAGUUUGCGGCUCAACCGUAAAAUUGCAAUUGAUACUGGCAGUCUUGAGUACAGUUGAGGUAGGCGGAAUUCGUGGUGUAGCGGUGAAAUGCUUAGAUAUCACGAAGAACCCCGAUUGCGAAGGCAGCUUACUAAACUGUGACUGACAUUGAUGCUCGAAAGUGUGGGUAUCAAACAGGAUUAGAUACCCUAGUAGUC
rnacentral:rRNA from 1 species